rnacentral:tRNA from 1 species
UCCCUGGUGGUCAGGUGGCUAGGACUCUGUGCUCCCAACGCAGGAGGUGCAGGUUCAAUCCCUUGUCAGGGAA